GACGAACGCUGGCGGCGUGCUUAACACAUGCAAGUCGAACGGAAAGGCCCCCCUCUUGGUGGGGGUGCUCGAGUGGCGAACGGGUGAGUAACACGUGGGUGAUCUGCCCUGUACUUGGGGAUAAGCUUGGGAAACUGGGUCUAAUCCCGGAUAGGACCAUGGUUUAGUGUGUCAUGGGGGAAGGAUUAUUGUUUUGGUGCAGGCUGGGCUCGCGGCCUAUCAGCGUGUUGGUGGGGUAAUGGCCUAGCAAGGCGGCGACGGGUAGCCGGCCGGGGAGAGUGGGCGGGAACAUUGGGACGGCGACACGGGGCAGACGCCUACGGGAGGCAGCAGUGGGGAAGAAGGCGCAAGGGGCGCUAGCCUGAUGCAGCGACGCCGCGUGAGCGAUGACGGCCGUGGGGUGGUAAACUCCUGGCGUUAGGGACGAUGCCACUCUUUUGGGGUGUGGUGACGGUACCUUUGUAAAGAAGCACCGGCUAACUACGUG
rnacentral:rRNA from 1 species